GGGGUCGUGGCACAGUGGUAGCGCGUUCGGCUGCAGUCCGAUUGGUCGGUGGUUCGAUUCCACCCGGCCCCU
rfam:Salpingoeca sp. ATCC 50818 unplaced genomic scaffold supercont1.10, whole genome shotgun sequence.